AAACCGUAACUGUGUUCACGUUGAAUUUUAUCGAAAAAUAUAAAUAAUAUUUUCUUUAGAGUGUGUUGGCCAGGGUCCUUUCCAAUGCAUGUGCACCUUCUGUCUUUUUUCCUAAUCAGCCCAGUGUGCAUAAAGUAUCAUAGUUCUUUACACACGUGCGGUGGUGAAGUGUGGUGGGUUUGAGUUUCAGAGCACUGUGAUGCCUCGCUGUGACUUCUGCAGACAAGGAAAGAAGAAAAAGCGCUGGAAAUAAAGUUGAUUUCCCCGCUCAGUGAAUGGAGUUAACCGAUUCUUCUUUUUGAUUUACUAUCAAAAAUGGAAAGCAGUAGCACAGGUAUGUUUGUAUUUUGAAAUAAGCCAUAAAUUGAGCUUUCAACUAAACUUCCCAUGAUUGGUUGAGGAGGUGCUUUCAGACUUUUCAGAGUCAGAUUGAUCCCCCUUUCCCAGGGACGAGUCUCACCAAAGACAUAGCAAGCAUGUCUUUGAUGGACAGGUAUGAAGAGGAGGACUGUUCUGAUUCAGACGGCAGUGCUGAGCUUGAUGAAGAGGAUGAAGAGGAUGAAGGUGAUGAAGGUGGGCAGUGUCACUCUUCCAUUGAGCUUUGAGUCUCAAUGACGAGUUCUAGAGGAUUGGAACUGCGAGAAAAGUUCUCUUCUGAAGAUGAACCAGGUGGCCAACGGCAGACCGAGAGGAGAGCAAAGCCAAGGCCAAAGACAAAAGAGCAGUCAGUCAGAGUUGCUUCGACGAAUCCGUUCUCAAUUUGUGCAGGGAGUUUCAAACCCAGUUAUCAAAGGUCUCCUGGAUGACCUUUAUCAGCAUGAAGUGGUCAGUACUGAGGAAAAGGAAUUUGUGAUGGAGAACCAGAAGAUCAAAACGGACAUGGCUGAUAGUAUGAAGUUUAGGGACAAGCACUUGUGCUCCGACCUUGGUCUGAUCUCUUCUUCUGCUGCGGUGGCUGAGAUGUAACUAUGAAUUUCCUUUGUAAAGUCACUGCCGACUUUGUUUUGACAAGACAUUACAUUAAAUCAGCUGACAUAUUGUUGAUAUGUUUAGAAUAGGUCCUCCUUUCGGUGCUAGUACAUGUGUAGACCUUUUGUAUGGUCUCGGAAAAAUCACGGAAAUGUUUAGUUUCCCAAGAGGAAGCUAAAGUUUUGUUUUUUUAUCUAUUAUUUUAAAUGUUCAGGCGGAUGCUAUACGCAGCCAGAUUUGCAGAUCGGCUGCGGUACAUGUUGGACAAAACUUGACAAGAUCCACAAAUGCAUACAAACGAGUUCACAUGUGGUAAUCUGAUGUGAAAGAGGGUGUGGACUUUAAGUUACAAAACACAAGUCAACUUUAUGGAUUUCUCCAUUGUGAUCUGUUCUGAAAGUUUGUUUAGAUAUCCUUUUUACAAAGGAAAAGUAAACAAUAUUUGUGAUUUUUGGUAACGAAACGUGAAUUGUCUUCUAUUGGUAACAAGUUACUCACUUCCUUUUACAUGCAUGGUGCCACCUGCAGGUGUAUGCUAUGACCGCAUCCAGAUUGGUACAUGGGACAAAAUUUGAUCUUGAUUGCAAAUCUAAAGUGAAAAAUUACUAUGGACACUGCCAUCAGUGUGUGUAAAAUUGGUUGCAAGUAGCUAUGAAUGAAAGCGUCCGCUAAAUGCAAAUGUUAUUUCCUCACUUCAGGGUAAGCUGCAGUAAUAAAUAAACCUGGCACUGCUUCACCCUCCCUUUAAUUUGAUUAUUUUGUUAGUUUAAAAAUACAAAUUGU
rnacentral:lncRNA from 1 species